CAGCAGCCGCGGUAAUACAGAGGGUGCAAGCGUUAAUCGGAAUUACUGGGCGUAAAGCGCGCGUAGGUGGUUUGUUAAGUUGGAUGUGAAAGCCCCGGGCUCAACCUGGGAACUGCAUCCAAAACUGGUGAGCUAGAGUACGGUAGAGGGUAGUGGAAUUUCCUGUGUAGCGGUGAAAUGCGUAGAUAUAGGAAGGAACACCAGUGGCGAAGGCGACUACCUGGACUGAUACUGACACUGAGGUGCGAAAGCGUGGGGAGCAAACAGGAUUAGAUACCCCAGUAGUCCCUGUCUCUUAUAC
rnacentral:rRNA from 1 species